AGUCGGACCUGCCCAGUGAAAUUUUUUAACGGCCGCGGUACUCUGACCGUGCAAAGGUAGCAUAAUCAUUUGCCUUAUAAUUGAAGGCUAGUAUGAAUGGUUUGACAAGAAUAUAGCUGUCUCUUUCUGAUUAAAUAGAAUUUUAUUUAGAGGUGAAGAAGCCUCUAUCAAAUUAAAAGACAAGAAGACCCUAUCGAGCUUUAAAAAAGUUAAUAGAUGNGAAUAAUUUAUANUAUUUAAAAAAUUAACUAUUAAAAAUUUUAGUUGGGGCGACUGAGGAACAAAAAAAGCUUCCUUUAUNAGGAUAANAACCACACGAGUAUUGAUCCAGAAUAUUUUGAUUAAAGGAAUUAGUUACCGUAGGGAUAACAGCAUUAUCUUUUUUAAGAGUUCUUAUCGAAAAGAAGGUUUGUGACCUCGAUGUUGGACCAGAAUAUCCUAAAGAUGCAGUAGUCUU
rnacentral:rRNA from 1 species